rnacentral:sRNA from 1 species
AAAAAAUGGGAUUCUCUUCCCUGGGGGCAAAAUAUGCUUUGCAUAGUGGGGGGGCAGGUAUAGACAAAAUCUACCCCCCAUCUGGUUUAUAGACCCCCUUCAGGCCAUUUAGAGUUUCAUUGCACACAGGUCUCAGAGAUUUCCUCCCCAGGCUUGCCUUCCUGCCCUCCCCCGCCCAAGUCCCCCUGGCUCCAGUGUUUCUUCCUGCCCCAGCUUCUGGGCAUGGACUGUUUCCAAGGACUCCCAGAGAGCGGGCCAAUGGGCGGCAGAUGUUGGCUAGGGCUUUGGUCUCUAGGGUGCUGGGGUAUAUUCAUUUGCUCCCCUCUCUCUUCUGGGAAGGAAGUGAGUGGGCAGUGCCUGUGUGUUGAACUGGUGCCAACCUCUGCCUCUGCCUUCCAGAUUCUUGGUGCCACCAUUGAGAACUCCAGGAUUGUCCUGCAGAUUGACAAUGCCCGUCUGGCUGCAGAUGACUUCCGAACCAAGUUUGAGACGGAGCAGGCUCUG